AGAGUUUGAUCCUGGCUCAGGAUGAACGCUGACAGAAUGCUUAACACAUGCAAGUCUACUUGAUCCUUCGGGUGAUGGUGGCGGACGGGUGAGUAACGCGUAAAGAACUUGCCUUGCAGUCUGGGACAACGUCUGGAAACGGACGCUAAUACCGGAUAUUAUGAUUGAAUCGCAUGAUUUGAUUAUGAAAGCUAUAUGCGCUGCGAGAGAGCUUUGCGUCCCAUUAGUUAGUUGGUGAGGUAACGGCUCACCAAGACGAUGAUGGGUAGCCGGCCUGAGAGGGUGAACGGCCACAAGGGGACUGAGACACGGCCCUUACUCCUACGGGAGGCAGCAGUGGGGAAUAUUGGACAAUGGACCAAAAGUCUGAUCCAGCAAUUCUGUGUGCACGAUGAAGUUUUUCGGAAUGUAAAGUGCUUUCAGUUGGGAAGAAGAAAGUGACGGUACCAACAGAAGAAGCGACGGCUAAAUACGUGCCAGCAGCCGCGGUAAUACGUAUGUCGCAAGCGUUAUCCGGAUUUAUUGGGCGUAAAGCGCGUCUAGGCGGUUUGGUAAGUCUGAUGUGAAAAUGCGGGGCUCAACUCCGUAUUGCGUUGGAAACUGCCAAACUAGAGUACUGGAGAGGUAGGCGGAACUACAAGUGUAGAGGUGAAAUUCGUAGAUAUUUGUAGGAAUGCCGAUGGGGAAGCCAGCCUACUGGACAGAUACUGACGCUAAAGCGCGAAAGCGUGGGUAGCAAACAGGAUUAGAUACCCUGGUAGUCCACGCCGUAAACGAUGAUUACUAGGUGUUGGUGGGUACGACCCAUCGGUGCCGCAGCAAACGCAAUAAGUAAUCCACCUGGGGAGUACGUUCGCAAGAAUGAAACUCAAAGGAAUUGACGGGGACCC
rnacentral:rRNA from 1 species